GUCCAUAUAGCUCAGCGGCAGAGCGAGAGAUUGCAGUCAAAACGCAACCAUCUCUAGGUCCAUCGUUCGAAUCGGUGUGUGGACU
rnacentral:tRNA from 1 species